GACGAACGCUGGCGGCGUGCUUAACACAUGCAAGUCGAACGGUAAGGCCCUUCGGGGUACACGAGUGGCGAACGGGUGAGUAACACGUGGGUGAUCUGCCCUGCACUUCGGGAUAAGCCUGGGAAACUGGGUCUAAUACCGGAUAGGACCCUGGGAUGCAUGUCCUGGGGUGGAAAGCUUUUGCGGUGUGGGAUGGGCCCGCGGCCUAUCAGCUUGUUGGUGGGGUGAUGGCCUACCAAGGCGACGACGGGGAGCCGGCCUGAGAGGGUGACCGGCCACACUGGGACUGAGAUACUGCCCAGACUCCUACGGGAGGCAGCAGUGGGGAAUAUUGCACAAUGGGCGCAAGCCUGAUGCAGCGACGCCGCGUGAGGGAUGACGGCCUUCGGGUUGUAAACCUCUUUUAGCAGGGAAGAAGCGAAAGUGACGGUACCUGCAGAAAAAGCACCGGCUAACUACGUGCCAGCAGCCGCAGUAA
rnacentral:rRNA from 1 species